rnacentral:sRNA from 1 species
UGUCAAUUACCUUGCGUUGUAUGAUGGC